rnacentral:lncRNA from 1 species
AUUGUGGGUACCAAAAUGGAAUCUAGUGUCACUGAAGAGGCUCAAAAGGGAAAAAGAACUUGGUCUCCAAGCAGGAGAAGGAAAUGGCCCAACUCUCUGCCGAGGGACCUGGUCUUUCCUGGAUCUGAGCUCCGAAGCCAGGAGGCGAAGGGCCCAUGUUGUGCCACCUCAGCUCCUGAUCCCAAGACCAAGGAGCUGCCAGACCUGCGUCAGCUUCUCACUGUCGGUGUGAUUUGCCACUGUGUGACUCUUGGAAAAGAAAAUCCAACGAUUUUGAUGAUUCAAGAAAGCAGAAGGCCCAACCUUCAGUAAAACCACAGGUCUCCGGGAGUCGGCUUUGGCAUUCUCUUGCAAACACAGGUUUACUGAGCACAGGGCCUCCGUCUUGUCUCGGAGAGAACACAAACUCUCUGGGGUGUUCCUCCCCAGAGUAGUGGAGGGCUGAGGAGGGCCAGAGGGUGACGCCACAGCAUCCAACUUGCAAAGCUAGACCAGGGGGCUUCCCAAGGUUUUGGGGACAUUUCAAGUUGGUGACCUCUGAUUAGAAGAGAUGACAAUGUUUGUGUCUGUCAGCACCAAUGCCAGGAUCCGGAACAGGACAAGGUUCAUGUUCCUGGCCUUCACCCUGCAGCCACACCUGCCUCUGUUUCUGUAUAUAGCCUAUUUCAUCUAUGCCACUGUGUGGUGGUAUCUCCAACCUCUGCAGGCUGUAUUUCUCUUGCUGCUUUGACACACAAGGACUGGGCAGGGGUAACCUUGGGGCCCACCUGCUUGAUGCUUCCUGGUUUCAUCAGGAGGAAGCCACGGAAAUGCCCUAUCCCAGGAAUUGCCUGUUUGCUCCUCAGAAUCCAACCGCUUCAGUGGGUGUGAAUGGCUGCAUGCCCACCCUAGCCUGCUUGGACACCCACCCAGCCAUUCUCAGGUGAAGGUCUGCGACCCGCUGUCUCUGCCCAGUGAUGGAACUCUAAGCGGGAGGCCUCUCUUGUCUCUUACACCCCAUCACUAAGAACAGAACUGGCACCAGAGGGUAUACACCACAGAUGUAAAUUCAGUCAUGGAGUGGGUGAGAUAGAUGCCUUUCCUUCUAUCUGCCUGGACACUGGGUAGGGACAAGGAUGCCAUGAGCUAAGAAGAAGCACCCUGGAAUAAGGAACAGAGGUACGGAGGCUUCACCACUUCUUAGAGACUCUUACGAUAUUAUUCAUGAUGCUGCAAGUCUGAAGAAGCAUCAGCAGGUUUUUGUUUUUGUUUUUUUUUUUACAUACUAGUCGUACACAAUGUAAGUGUGCUCUUCUGAACAACUAAUAAGCCAUUUAGGGGAGGUAACUUAAUCUGUCAACUGUCUGCUGUAUAAAUAAAGACCCGUGUUUGAUUCCUAGAACUCACAGAAAAGCCAGGUGUGGUAGCAAGCAUUUGUAAUUCCAGUACUGAGGAUUCCUGGCUGGCCAGCCAGCUCUCUUAGUAGGUGGCAGGCCAGUGAGAGACCCUGUCUCAAAAGAAAAGGUGGAUCCAGCUGGAGAACGAUACAACACCUAAAAUUGUUCUCCAGCCUGUACACACACUCAGUCACCAACAUACACUUAACACACACAUACACAAACACUCAUGCACACAGGCAUGCAUGGAAACCAAUAAACACAAAAGGCAGUGGUGGCACACACCUCUAAUUCCAGCACUUAGGAGGCAGAGGCAGGUGGAUGAUGUCUGAGUUCAAGGCCAACCUGGUCUACAGAACAAGUUCCUGGACAGCCAAGGCUGUUACACAAGGAACCCCUGUCUCGAAAAAACUAAAAAAUAAAAUAAAAUAAAAUAAAAUAAAAUAAAAUAAAAUAAAAUCUUAACAUUAAAAAACAUGGUCUAUGAUGGUUCUUGGUUGUCAACUUGACUACAUCUGGAAUGAACUAAGACCCAAGGUGGCUGGGUACAAUUAUGGGGAAUUUUAAUUUAAUCUUGAGUGUCUCUUCCACAAAAUAUCAUUGACUCACUAAAUGAACAGGAGGCAGCAACUUUGGACUUAUUGGUAACAUAUAUGUGCAUCAGUGAAAUUCUUAUGAGUCCAGUCAUGUGGACAUACAGAUGUUCCUUCUAAGAUGAAGGGUAAGUUAUUGCACCUGGCCCCUCCAACCACCAACAAGAAGCAUAUUUAGUGGGCCUAUUUGGAUUUUGGAGACAGCACAUUCCUUACUUGGGUGUGUUACUCAGGCCCAUAUAUCAAGUGACUCCAAAAGCUGUUAGCUUAGAUUGGGGUCUUAGACAGGAAAAGUCUCUUCAGCAAUUUUGGAUUUUGGAGCAAGGCUCUAUCAUCAUCUGCAGACAACUGUUCUUUCUUUGAGAGACAGCUCGUGGUCUGCUGUUAGGCAUUACUGGAAACUGCACUUUUGAGAAUGGACCACCAAGUUACCACGCAACAUGAGCUGCCCAUCAUGAGCUGGGUGUUAUCUGAUUCACCAGGUCAUAAAGUAGGACAUGCACAGCAGCAAUCCAUUAUCAAACGGAAGAGGUAUAUAAAGAUUGGACCAGAGCAGGUUCUGAAGGCACAAGGAAGUUACAUGAAGAAGCUGCCCAAACACCUGUAACUCCCAUUAUAAUGCUGUCUGCUCCCAAGCAUGCACCUGCAUCCUCAUGGGGAAAUUGGGUUGCUUCUUCACAGUGAGCAUAAGGAAGAUUGUGAUGUCUGGAGUGCAGACAUCCUUUAGGGUGUCUCUGUGCUACCAUGUCCUGUGAUUAAAAUCAAUGGGAAACUACAACUUAAUCCAGGCAGGAUGACAAGGGGCAGAGACCCAGCAGGAAUAAAGAUAUGGGUCACUAAUCCAGGAAAAGAGACAAGAUCUGCUGAGGUGCUUGCUGAAAGGGCAGGAAAUACAUAAUGGGUAGUAGAAAAACGUAGUUCUAAAUACCAGCGAGGGCCACGUGACCAGUUGCAGAAGUGGAUGGAGAUUAUAAUUGACAUGAGUGUUUCUGUUGUAUCUUGUUAAGAAUGUAUCUGUGCAGAUAUUUGUGUUUUAUUUCCUCAAUUUCUUUAUCAUGUAAUGAAAAUCAAUUAAAAGAACAUCAUUAGUUAUCCUAUUUAAGUUGGAGAUGCUAAAAUAAUGUCCCUCAAGGAAUAGUGCCAUCUAUUCUAAAAUUUUUAAUGCAUUAGCCAUUGUACAACAGAAGGAUGGUUAUAGCACAGGAGGCAUGGUUUUCAUCGGGUUAAAAAUAUGAGUUUAUGAGUGUAUGUGGGAUAUUUGUAUCAUGUUGAUAUGAUUAUGACCUUGUUAUUGUUUUUAUUUGGAAAUUAAAGAUGAUAUAAGGA